rnacentral:rRNA from 1 species
GUGCACGUCCCCUCACCUUUUCUAUCUACACACACCUGUGCACCUAUUGUAGAUCCCUCUCGAAAGAGAGGGAACUAUGUUUUCAUCACAUCACACACAACGUAUGUCUAGAAUGUAAAAAACAAUAUAUACAACUUUCAGCAACGGAUCUCUUGGCUCUCGCAUCGAUGAAGAACGCAGCGAAUUGCGAUAAGUAAUGUGAAUUGCAGAUUUCCAGUGAAUCAUCGAAUCUUUGAACGCACCUUGCGCUCCUUGGUAUUCCGAGGAGCAUGCCUGUUUGAGUGUCAUCGAAUUCUCAACCAUUCUCUCUUUUCUGGGAGUAUGGCUUGGACUUGGGGGUUGCUGGCAGCACUGUCAGCUCUCCUUAAAUGUAUUAGCAAUCGAGUUGGCUAGUCUUUUGACGUACACGGCCUCGGACGUGAUAAUGAUCGUCGUGGCUGGAGCGUCUUUCCUAGACUAUGUACAUAGAUCGCUUCUAAUCUGUUGUCUAUCGAGCUUAGCUACUAGGCAGUCUUUUUGGCUGGCGAACGCAAGCGAGACAUUCACAUUCUCAGAGACUUGACCUCAAAUCAGGUAGGACUACCCGCUGAACUUAAGCAUAUCAAUAAGCGGAGGAAAAGAAACUAACAAGGAUUCCCCUAGUAACUGCGAGUGAAGAGGGAAAAGCUCAAAUUUUGAAUCUGGCGGUCAUUUCGGCCGUCCGAGUUGUAAUCUAGAGAAGCGUCUUCCGCGCUGGACCGUGUACAAGUCUCCUGGAAGGGAGCGUCAUAGAGGGUGAGAAUCCCGUCUUUGACACGGACUACCAGUGCUAUGUGAUGCGCUCUCGACGAGUCGAGUUGUUUGGGAAUGCAGCUCAAAAUGGGUGGUAAAUUCCAUCUAAAGC